CGCUGGCGGCGUGCCUAAUACAUGCAAGUCGAACGCUUCUUUCCUCCCGAGUGCUUGCACUCAAUUGGAAAGAGGAGUGGCGGACGGGUGAGUAACACGUGGGUAACCUACCCAUCAGAGGGGGAUAACACUUGGAAACAGGUGCUAAUACCGCAUAACAGUUUAUGCCGCAUGGCAUAAGAGUGAAAGGCGCUUUCGGGUGUCGCUGAUGGAUGGACCCGCGGUGCAUUAGCUAGUUGGUGAGGUAACGGCUCACCAAGGCCACGAUGCAUAGCCGACC
rnacentral:rRNA from 1 species